UAACGGACACGACGCAGAGAGAGGCACCGAAUGAAACCUAUUCUGAACAGAUGUUAGUAUUUUACAAAAGUCACGUGAAAUGAACAGAUGUUGUUGUAGAACAGGGACUCGCCUUGGUUCGAGAGCAUUCCUCGACAGAAAGGCUUCGAAAUAAGAUCGGAGAGAAGCAUUAGCGUUCUAUUCACAACAAAAAACGACUCAGCACAUCGUGUGGGUGAUAAUAGAUUUACCACGGGCCUCACCUGCGAUGGAACCUCGGCCUACGUCCCAUAGGAAAUCUAUCAAACUAAAAUGGACGGUUCCAACCGCGCAGGAAUUUGCUGGAGAUGGGGCAGGGGCGUUUGUGAAGCAGGUCGUCAACAGGCUGACUCAUCACAUAUGGCCCCAGAACCGUGUCCCUCUGCCAAGAUGACACUGCACAGGAUAUAGUCCACAUCAUCAGCCACCUGGUCAGGUGACCCUGAUAACAACAACAACAACAACAAGGAACAAACAAAAGUUGAUUGGAUGGUGUAAGAGAUGAUCCUGACUGCAAGUUUCCAUUGUGGUCCAACUGAAUCUACCAAUGGAUAUCCUGGUGUAUCUGCUUCUGGACUGAACAGGGCUGGAGAGGACCACAGUUCCUCUCAACAAAUAGGCCCACAUCAAUGAACUUCUCCAGAUGAGACCGUGUGGAAUACUGAUGUGAUACUCAUACAUGCAAAAUGCUACUACAGGAUAGAAUAGCAUGGAGAACUUUAUGACACAAACAACAGUCAUACUGAAGCUAACAUGGACAAGUUUGCAAUGAUGCAAUAUUUAGGAAUUGAUACCCACAAAAUAGUGGGUGGAUGAUCACUAGUUACAAUAGGGAAAUUGCACACACUUUCUUUUUAGGAUUAUAUUUAUAGAUGUUAUGUAUUUUUUUGAUUAUAAAUACCCAUUUUUGCUUUUAUUUCAUUUAUUGAGAGAACAUGUAUGUUGGCACAUUUUAUUGCGAAUGUUAAUAUUUGGUGCUUGAUGAGAAGUUAUCUUCAAAAAGUUUUGUAACAAGAUUUGGUUUUACGAUAUUAAAGAGAUGGAAGGCUGUUUUAACUACUGAACUAUGUACGAUGACCCGACUGUAUCUAACUGUAUCAUCUAUAUUAGAUUGAACUGUUUGUGAAACUAAUCCAGGGGGUCACAGAAGUUGAGAGUUGAAAGUGUUCAGUCUCGUUAAACAACCCAAAACCUCUUAGACAUAAUACCACAGUGUCAUGUGUCUGUACCCUGAUCCCUGCAGGAAACCCAUCUGCCUCUCAAAUGGCACCCUAUUCCCUAUAUAGUGCACUACAUGCAUAUUCCCUAUGUAGUGGCCCAUAGGGUUCUGGUCAAAAUAGUGCACUAUAUAGGGAAUAGGGUGCCAUUUAGGACGCUGACCCGUUCCGAGGACCCUGGUAUCUCCCUGCUUUAACGAUGCAGGACAACGUAAAGUUUGACUUAUCUCCCUCCCCAAUCACCGUGUCACCAGGGUGCUGGCUCCGUCCUGCUGGAGGGAACAGCCUUGCUGUUUGUGACCUUAGUGAUAAAUCAAGUUCAAAGCAGAGGGUUGCACGCUGACAGAUAUCACCUUACACCCUGACAGAUAUCACCUUACACCCUGACAGAUAUCACCUUACACCCUGACAGAUAUCACCUUAUACCCAGGCCCAGUUCACUUGUCUUAUUAUUACAUGUUGGCUGUUUGCGUUUGCUAGUCUCAUACCUGUCAUGGAUAGCGUUCAUUAUUCAAAUGUGUUGAGGCAACAUCACACAUAGAACCCCCCCACCCCAUCUACCACCAUUCCAGUAAAUGACUGAAAUCAGAUUAGAGUAAUGUCAUAUGAAACACUAACCAACAAGAGUUUGUCUGCAUCCCAAAUGGAAACCCAUUUCCUUUAUAGUGCACUACUUUUGACCAGAACCCAAUGGGUCCUAGGCCCUUGGUCUAAAGUAAUGCAUUAUAUAGGGAAUAGGGUGCCAUUUGGGAAACAGACUUAGAUUCCUGAGGAGUGAGUCCACGUGACAUGAAGCCACACUUGGAUAAACAGUUUCACCCUUCCCUUAUUAAUUCUGCUGACCUUGGUGUCACCGUGGAUGAAUGUUUUAUGAAGGUCUGGAGCUCCAACGAAGGCUAGAGGAGUAGCAAUAAGAUCUAUUAAACGUUCUGGUACUGUAGGACUGAAAUAAUAGCUGUUUUACACAUUACACUGUACACUAUCAGUGUACAGUGUAAAUAUUCAGUUUGCGGAAUAUUUAAAUAAAACCUGGAAUAACAUUUUAAAAAGGCUACCUAUAAUUAAAUUGUAACCCAAACAA